UGUGAACUCGAAGAGUAGGGCGGGACACGUGGUAUCCUGUCUGAAUAUGGGGGGACCAUCCUCCAAGGCUAAAUACUCCUGACUGACCGAUAGUGAACCAGUACCGUGAGGGAAAGGCGAAAAGAACCCCGGCGAGGGGAGUGAAAAAGAACCUGAAACCGUGUACGUACAAGCAGUGGGAGCACCUUCGGGUGUGACUGCGUACCUUUUGUAUAAUGGGUCAGCGACUUAUAUUCUGUAGCAAGGUUAACCGUAUAGGGGAGCCGCAGGGAAACCGAGUCUUAACUGGGCGUUAAGUUGCAGGGUAUAGACCCGAAACCCGGUGAUCUAGCCAUGGGCAGGUUGAAGGUUGGGUAACACUAACUGGAGGACCGAACCGACUAAUGUUGAAAAAUUAGCGGAUGACUUGUGGCUGGGGGUGAAAGGCCAAUCAAACCGGGAGAUAGCUGGUUCUCCCCGAAAGCUAUUUAGGUAGCGCCUCGUGAACUCAUCUUCGGGGGUAGAGCACUGUUUCGGCUAGGGGGUCAUCCCGACUUACCAACCCGAUGCAAACUACGAAUACCGAAGAAUGUUAUCACGGGAGACACACGGCGGGUGCUAACGUCCGUCGUGAAGAGGGAAACAACCCAGACCGCCAGCUAAGGUCCCAAAGUCAUGGUUAAGUGGGAAACGAUGUGGGAAGGCACAGACAGCCAGGAUGUUGGCUUAGAAGCAGCCAUCAUUUAAAGAAAGCGUAAUAGCUCACUGGUCGAGUCGGCCUGCGCGGAAGAUGUAACGGGGCUAAACCAUGCACCGAAGCUGCGGCAGCGACACUAUGUGUUGUUGGGUAGGGGAGCGUUCUGUAAGCCUGCGAAGGUGUGCUGUGAGGCAUGCUGGAGGUAUCAGAAGUGCGAAUGCUGACAUAAGUAACGAUAAAGCGGGUGAAAAGCCCGCUCGCCGGAAGACCAAGGGUUCCUGUCCAACGUUAAUCGGGGCAGGGUGAGUCGACCCCUAAGGCGAGGCCGAAAGGCGUAGUCGAUGGGAAACAGGUUAAUAUUCCUGUACUUGGUGUUACUGCGAAGGGGGGACGGAGAAGGCUAUGUUAGCCGGGCGACGGUUGUCCCGGUUUAAGCAUGUAGGCUGGUUAUCCAGGCAAAUCCGGAUAAUCAAGGCUGAGGUGUGAUGACGAGGCACUACGGUGCUGAAGUAACAAAUGCCCUGCUU
rnacentral:rRNA from 2 species